GGGGGCGAUCUGGUUUCGACGGGAGAGCUGAUACAAGGGUUGCAUGCACGGGAUGCCGUUGGCCCGUUAAAAAACGGCUUUUACAUAAUCGCCAACGAUUAUGAUGUAGCUGUAGCCGCUUAAUUUAACCGGUUACCGUCCGCCGCAUCCAUGUUCACGGGAAGCGGGUCGGA
rnacentral:tmRNA from 1 species